GAUGAAGUCUGCCAUCCAUCAACUUCCAUGGUAAAAGGAGCUCAUCUUUCAUCUCAAGCAGGGCUGCUGUCGCUGGAGUGCCUUUUGUAGAUGUCCUGACUACAACUUACAACUUAGUGGGAGGUAUUUUCUUUCCCCUUACAAAAUUUGAUUUUCCUUUUUUGCUGAAUCUGAAGCAAAAACAGAUCUUUUAUGAUGCAAACAAUGCAUUUCCCAGUUUAUGAAAAACCCAGAAAAUCAUUUGGUAACCCCAAAAAGAAAAUGUUUUUAAUACUAAUUAUCAACAUUAAGAAGACUAAAAAAAUUAGGAAGAACACCUUCGAUUAAAAAAUAAAGGAAAGGCGCCAUCAGCGAAACCCCCAGAUUUAGGGAUUUGAUUUCGGCCUCCCAUGAAUCAAAUAAGCACCUUUUUUAUUUUUAGCUGAUUUGGGAUUAUGAUAUUUUUCUUUUCUGAAUUCAUAAUGAAAUAAAUAUAUGGUCAUAAAUGAGAUAAUGGCGAGAUUUUUACUAAAAUAAUAUAAAAAAAUAAAAAAAUAACCAAAAUAUUAUACUUUAUUUAUUUACUAAAAUAAUACAAAAAAAGAAAAAAAAGGCUGCAUGAUGUGACAAUACCCUAGAGGAGGGUAUCCGAUGGUGGCCCUCCCAUGGGCGGUAGAGCCUGUGCCAUAUUCUGAUUCGAAACCAGAGCCCGAGCAGGAGCCUCAGCCAGAGCCACAGCCAGAGCCCCAGCCAGAUUCGGAGCAAUCACCUUCACAUGUGGAUUCACAUAGCUAUCAUCCGAAUUUCGCGGGCACUGACUAUUUGCCGAGAGUGCCGUACUGCAGCGGGUAGGAUCUAAAGAGAUCAAACUAGUAUGCGUAUUGGCCCUCUGAGAAGCUCGGAAUAUAAUCAUUACCUGUUAAAUCCGGAUGAUAGCAAUGUGAAUCCCCAUGUGAAUGUGACUGCUCAGGAUCUGGCUCGAGUUUCAUCGGGCCGUUGGGUACGAUUCCCCAGGUCGCUGCAUGUGCGGGAGACUACAGUCGACUGCCCUCCAAUUAUAUAUGGCUUUCCGCAACUACAGUACCAUUCUAUGUACUCUAAUGAUGGUUGCAAAUCAGAAGCCAUAACGAUCUGAGGUCUUCGACGCAUUCGAUCGUUCCAUCGCGCCAUAAAUUUUCGGUGCUUAAUGCCCCCAUCCAGCUGAGGUUUUCCUCUCUUAUUCAUCCCGUGAACUGCCCCCACCGCGCAUGACGGAUGCGGGAUAUGUUGGAUGCAGCUAACCUGUCGUAGCACCCGAUCUCCGUGAUACCACUCGACCAUAUUGAAAUUUUGGUGCUUAGUGCAACAUAUGUGGGAAUAAACGUAUGCAGACGAGGGUAUCACAUCUGUAAUUUUCGGCCUAAGGUAUGGCAUCCAUAUAAACUGCAUGAGUAAUAAUAUGGUCAUAAUUAGCCAUAACGUGUGAGUAAGAUAUAGAAAGUAAGAUGUCAUGAAUAUUAGAAUAGCAGCUUACCCCUUCCUGGGCGUACUGUUCGAUCAGAAAUCAGUAUAUUGGGACAGUAUGCGAUCUCCCGAUACCCGGACGAACACUCUACCUAUAAAAAACAAAUAUAGGGUUAGGGUUGGUAACAUUACUCAAUAUAUUAUGACUACAAAUAAUGCCAAGUUAUAUUUUAUCACCUGUUCACCAGUGGAUAAACAUACGGUUAGUGACUAACCGAUGCCAAAAAUGGCAUCCGAUAGAGCGUCCAGGACUACAGCAAUGUGAGGCAUCCGCACAUGUCUACAACAUCCGGGUUUAUCGUCUGACAAAGCUCCCGAUACAACACUGGACAAAUCAGCUAAUAGGGGCAAGUAUAUCAAAUGCACCUGGUUGUUGUUUGCAUCGGGCAUGAGUACUCCCCUUAGGAUAUGCAUGAUCUAUGCUCGAGCAACGCACAUCAACUCACUUUCAGUGGUAGUCACUGAUAAUUGUCCAAAUUUGGCUUUCAGCCAUGUAAAUUUUAAGCCUGUAAAAUUUGACUUAUCGUCCUCUAGCGAGUUUCCUAGGAGCUAAUAACAAAAUGCAGCCGGAUCGAUAAAUGAAGAUACUCCCGUUACAGGACUCCCGUCAAUUGGUAGCCCGAGCUGCAUUGCAACAUCUUUCAAGGGCACUGUAUACUCCCCACACGAAAAAUGAAAAGUGUGGGUCUCUGGGCGCUACCGCUCCACUAGCGCAGAUAAUAAAUCAUAGCGCAAGUCGGAGGUCUGGAUCAAUGCUGCUGACCCAAAUCCUGCUUGCUCCAAGUACGGCAUCAAUCGUGCAUCCGGAGCUUUCUUUAAUCCAUUCACACGGCCCCUUAUUACUCGGUACGAGUCCUGAUAGUGUUAAAUUACAGAAAAAAUAUUACGAUAACAUGAUUUAUUUCUAUAUAUUACGUAUAUCCUUUUUAAAUAAACAGAACCUGUGAUUAACAAAUAAUAAAUCAUACCGCCUUAUUAGCCGCAUAAGAUAUGUGUCUACCGGGUUGAAUCAAUGGAGCCAAUGCAGCUUUUUUUCUAUUUUUUGUAUAAUUUUCGUAAAUAAAAAAAUAAUAUUUUUUAAAUUUUAAUUGUUAUAUUAUUUUAGUAAAAAUCCCGAUAAUGGCGGUACAAAUAGUGGAAAUUCGGGAUUUAUUAUUUGUUAAUCACUGGUUCUAUUUAUUUAAAAAUGAUAUACGUAAUAUAUAGAAAGAAAUCAUGUUAUCGUAAUAUUUUUCUGUAAUUUAACACUAUCAGGACUGGUACCGAGUAAUAAGGGGUCGUGUGAAUGGUUCGAAGAAAGCUCCAGAUGCACGAUUGAUGCCGUACUUAGAGCAAAGAGGAUUUGGGUCAACAGCAUUGAUCCGGGCCUCCGACUUGCGCUAUGAUUUAUUAUCUGCACUAAUGGAACGGUGGCUCCCGGAGGCCCACACUUUUCAUUUUUCGUGUGGGGAGUGCACGGUGACCUUGGAGGAUGUUGCAAUGCAGCUCGGGCUCCCAAUUGACGGGAGUCCCGUAACGGGAGUAUCUUCAUUUAUCGAUCCGACUUCACUUUAUUAUCAACUCUUAGGAGAUUCGCUAGAGGACGAUGAGUCAAAUUUUACGGGCAUAAAAUUUACAUGGUUGAAAGCCAAAUUUGGACAAUUAUUAGCGACUGCCACUGAAAGUGAGUUGAUGUGCGUUGCUCGAGCGUAUGUCAUUCAUAUCCUAGGGGUAAUACUCAUGCCCGAUGCAAACAACAACAAGGUGCAUUUGAUGUACUUGCCCCUAUUAGCUAAUUUGUCCAGUGUUAGCUCGUAUAGCUGGGGCUCUGCCAUUCUAGUAGUAUUGUAUCGGGAGCUUUCUCAGACGAUAAGCCCGAAUGUUGUAGACAUGUGCGGAUGCUUGACAUUGUUGCAGUCCUGGGCGCUCCAUCGGAUGCCAUUUUUGGCAUCGGUUAGUCACCAACCGUAUGUUUAUCCACUGGUGAACAGGUGAUAAAAUAUAACUUGGCAUUAUUUGUAGUUAUAAUAUAUUGAGUAAUGUUACCAACCCUAAACCCUAUAUUUAUUUUUUGUAGGUGGAGUGUUUGUCCGGGUAGCUAGAGGUUGCACACUGUUAUUCUAAUAUUCAUGACAUCUUACUUUCUAUAUCUUACACACACGUUAUGGCUAAUUAUAACCAUGUUAUUAAUCAUGCAGUUGAUAUGGAUGCCAUACUGUAGGCCGGAAAUUAAAGAUGUGGUACCCUCGUCUGCAUACAUUCAUUCCCACAUAUGGUGCACUAACGCAUCAAUUAUAAAUUUCAAUAUGGUCUAGUGGUAUCAUGGAGAUCGGAUGUUACGACAGUUUGGCUGCAUCCAACAUAUCCCGCAUCCGCCGUGCGAGGUGGGCGCGGUUCACGGCAUGAAUAAAAGAGGAAAACCUCAGUUAGAUUGUGGCAUUAAGCACUAAAAAUUUGUGGCGCGGUGGAACGAUCGAAUGCGUCGAAGACCUCAGAUGGUUAUGGCUUCCGAAUUGCAACCAUCAUUAGAGUACAAACAAUGGCACUAUAGUUCCGGGAAGGCAUAUAUACUCAGAGACCAGUCGACUGUAGUCCCCCCGCACAUGCAGCAACCUGGGAGAUCGUACCCAGCGGCCCCGAUGGAGGCGGAGCCUUUGACAUAUUAUGAUCCGAAACCAGAGCCCCAGCCAGAGUCCCAGCCAGAUCCAGAACAAUCACCUUCACAUGUGGAUUACAUAGCUAUUAUCCAGAUUUAGCGAGUACUGACUUUUUGUCGAGAGUGUCGUACUUCUGCGGAUAGGAUCCAAAGAGAUCAAACCCGUAUAUGUGUUGGCCCCCUGAGAAGCUCGGAAUAUAGUCAUUACCCGCCAAAUCCGUAUGAUAACAAUGUGAAUCCUCAUGUGAAUGUAACUACUCAGGAUCUGGCUCGGGCUCCAUCGGGACGGUUGAGUAUGAUUUUCCAGGUCGCUGCAUAUGCGAGGGACUACAGUCGCUGCCCUCCAAUUAUAUAUGGCGUUCCGCAACUACAGUACCAUUGUAUGUACUCUAAUGAUGGUUGCAAAUUGGAAGCCAUAACGAUCUGAGGUCUUCGACGCAUUCGAUCGUUCCAUCGCGCCACAAAUUUUCGGUGCUUAAUGCCCCAAUCCAAUUGAGGUUUUCCUCUCUUAUUCAUUCCGUGAACCGUCCCCACCUCACAUGGCAGAUGCGAGAUUUAUUGGAUGUAGCCAAACUGUCGUAGCACCCGAUCUCCCUGAUACCACUCGACUAUAUUGAAAUUUAUAAUUGGUGUGUUAGUGCACCAUUUGUGGGACUGAAUGUAUGCAGACGAGGGUACCACAUCUGUAAUUUUCGGCCUACGGUAUGACAUUCAUAUAAAAUGCAUGAUUAAUAACAUGGUUAUAAUUAGCCAUAACGUGUGAGUAAGAUAUAGAAAGUAAGAUGUCAUGAAUAUUAGAAUAGCAACUUACCCCUUCCCAAGCAUACUGUUCGAUCAUGAGUCGGUAUAUCGGGACAGUGUGUGACCUCCCGAUACCCGGACGAACACUCCACCUACAAAAAACAAAAAUAGGGUUUAGGGUUGGUAACAUUACUCAAUAUAUUAUGACUACAAAUACUGCCAAGUUAUAUUUUAUCACAUGUUCACCAGUGGAUAAACCUACGGUUGGUGACUAACCGAUGCCAAAAAUGGCAUCCGAUAGAGCGUCCAGGACUGCAGCAAUGUGAGGCAUCCGUCCAUGUCUACAACAUCCUGGUUUGUCAUCCGGCAAAGUUCCCGAUACAACACUGCUAGAACGGUGGAGCCCCAGCUAUACGAGCUAACACUGGACAAAUCAGCUAAUAGGGGCAAGUACAUCAAAUGCACCUUGUUGUUGUUUGCAUCGGGCAUGAGUACUCCCCCUAGGAUAUGCAUGAUGUACGCUCGAGCAACGCACAUCAACUCACCUUCAGUGGCAGUCGCUGAUAAUUGUCCAAAUUUGGCUUUCAGCCAUGUAAAUUUUAAACCCGUAAAAUUUGACUCAUCGUCCUCUAGCGAGUCUCCUAAGAACUGAUAACAAAGUGCAUCCGGAUCGGUAAAUGAAGAUACUUUCGUGAUGGGACUCCCGUCAAUUGGGAGCCCGAGCUGCAUUGUAACAUCCUCCAAGGUCACCGUGUACUCCUCACACGGCAUCAAUCGUGCUGACCCAAAUCAUAGCGCAGAUAAUAAAUCAUAGCGUAAGUCGGAGGUCCGGAUUAAUGCUGCUGACCCAAAUCCUGCUUGCUCCAAGUACGGCAUCAAUCGUGCAUCCGGAGCUUUCUUUAAACCAUUCACACGGCCCCUUAUUACUUGGUACGAGUCCUGAUAGUGUUAAAUUACAGAAAAAGUAUUAUGAUAACAUGAUUUAUUUCUAUAUAUUACGUAUAUCCUUUUUAAAUAAAUAGAACCCGUGAUUAACAAAUAAUAAAUCAUACUGCUUUAUUAGCUGCAUCAUAUAUGUGUCUACCGGGUUGAAUCAAUGGAGCCAAUUUAGCUUUUUUUCUAUUUUUUGUAUAAUUUUUGUAAAUAAAAAAAUAAUAUUUUUGUAAUUUUUUAUUUUUUAUAUUAUUUUAGUAAAAAUCUCGAUAAUGGCAGUGGAAAUUCGAGAUUUAUUAUUUGUUAAUCAUGGGUUCUAUUUAUUUAAAAAGGAUAUACGUAAUAUAUAGAAAGAAAUCAUGUUAUUGUAAUAUUUUUCUGUAAUUUAACACUAUCAAGACUGGUACCGAGUAAUAAUGGGUCAUGUGAAUGGUUUAAAGAAAGCUCCGGAUGCACGAUUGAUGCCGUACUUAGAGCAAGCCAGAUUUGGGUCCGCAGCAUUGAUCCAGACCUCCAACUUGCGCUAUGAUUUAUUAUCUGCGCUAGUUGAGCGGUGGCGUCCGGAGACGCACACUUUUCAUUUUCCGUGUGGGGAGUGCACGGUGACUUUAGAGGAUGUUACAAUGCAGCUCGGGCUCCCAAUUGACGGGAGUUUCGUAACAGGAGUAUCUUUAUUUAUCGAUCCGGCUGCACUUUGUUAUCAGCUCCUAGGAGACUCGCCAGAGGACGAUGAGUCAAAUUUUACAGGCUUAAAAUUUACAUGGCUGAAAGCCAAAUUUGGAGAAUUAUCAGCGACUGCCACUGAAGGUGAGUUGAUGUGCGUUUGUCGAGCGUAUAUCAUUCAUAUUCUAGGGGUAAUACUCAUGCUCGAUGCAAACAACAACAAGGUGCAUUUGAUGUAUUUGCCCCUAUUAGCUGAUUUGUCCAGUGUUAGCUCGUAUAGCUGGGGCUCCGCCGUUCUAGUAGUGUUGUAUCGGGAGCUUUCUCCGACGAUAAGCCCGGAUGUUGUAGACAUGUACCGAUGCCUCACAUUAUUGCAGUCCUGGGCGCUCUAUCGAAUGCCAUUUUUGGCAUCGGUUAGUCACCAACCGUAUGUUUAUCCACUGGUGAACAGGUGAUAAAAUAUAACUUGACAUUAUUUGUAGUUAUAAUAUAUUGAGUAAUGUUACCAACCCUAAACCCUAUAUUUAUUUUUUGUAGGUGGAGUGUUUGUCCGGGUAGCGGGAGGUCGCACACUGUUAUUCUAAUAUUCAUGACAUCUUACUUUCUAUAUCUUACUCACACGUUAUGGCUAAUUAUAACCAUGUUAUUAAUCAUGCGGUUUAUGUGGAUGUCAUACCGUAGGCCGAAAAUUACAGAUGUGGUACCCUCGUCUGCAUACAUUCAUUCCCACAUAUGGUGCACUAACGCACCAAUUAUAAAUUUCAAUAUGGUCGAGUGGUAUCACGGAGGUCGGGUGCUACGACAGUUUGGCUGCAUCCAACAUAUCCCGCAUCCGCCGUGCGAGGUGGGGCGGUUCAUGGCAUGAAUAAGAGAGGAAAACCUCAGUUAGAUUGGGGCAUUAAACACCAAAAAUUUAUGCCACGGUGGAACGAUCGAAUAUGUCGAAGACCUCAGAUGGUUAUGGCUUCCGAAUUGCAACCAUCAUUAGAGUACAUACAAUGGCACUAUUGUUGCGGGAAGCCAUAUAUACUCAGAGGCCAGUCGACUGUAGUCCCCCCGUACAUGCAGCAACCUGGGGGAUUGUACCCAGCGGCCUCGAUGGAGGCGAAGCCUUUGUUAUAUUAUGAUCCAAAACCAGAGCCCGAGCAGGAGCCCCAGCCAGAGCCCCAGCCAGAGUCCUAGCCAGAUCCAGAACAAUCACCUUCACAUGUGGAUUCACAUAGCUAUCAUCCGGAUUUAGCGGGCACUGACUUUUUGUCGAGAGUGUCGUACUGCUGCGGGUAGGAUCCAAUGAGAUCAAACCCGUAUACGUAUGAUAGCAAUUUGAAUCCUCAUGUGAAUGUGCCUGCUCAGGAUCUGGCUCGGGCUCUAUCGGGGCUGUUGGGUACGAUCCUCUAGGUCGCUUCAUGUACGGGGGACUACAGUCGCCUGUCCUCAAAUUAUAUAUGGCGUUCUGCAACUACAGUACCAUUGUAUGUACUCUAAUAAUGGUUGCAAAUUGGAAGCCAUAACGAUCUGAGAUCUUCGAUGCAUUCGACUGUUCUAUUGUGCCACAAAUUUUCGGUGCUUAAUGCCCCAAUCCAACUAAGGUUUUCCUCUCUUAUUCAUGCCGUGAACCACCCCCACAUCGCAUGGUAGAUGCGGGAUUUAUUGGAUGCAGCCAAACUGUUGUAGCACCCGAUCUCCCUGAUACCACUCAACCAUAUUAAAAUUUAUAAUUGGUGUGUUUGUGCACCAUAUGUGGGACUGAACGUAUGCAGACGAGGGUACCACAUCCGUAAUUUCCGGCCUAUGGUAUGGCAUCCAUAUAAAAUGCAUGAUUAAUAACAUGGUUAUAAUUAGUCAUAACGUGUGAGUAAGAUAUAGAAAGUAAGAAGUCAUGAAUAUUAGAAUAGCAGCUUACCCCUUCCCGGGCAUACUGUUCGAUCAUGAGUCGGUAUAUCAGAACAGUGUGCGACCUCCCGAUACCUGGACGAACACUCCACCUACAAAAAACAAAUAUAGGGUUUAGGAUUGGUAACACUACUCAAUAAAUUAUGACUACAAGUAAUGCCAAUUUAUAUUUUAUCAUCUGUUCAUCAGUGGAUCAACAUACAGUUGGUGACUAACCGAUGCCAAAAAUGGCAUCCGAUAGAGCUCCCAGGACUGCAGCAAUGUGAGGCAUCCACCCAUGUCUACAACAUCCUGGUUUGUCGUCCGACAAAGCUCUCGAUACAACACUGCUAGAACGGCGGAGCCUCAGCUAUAUGAGCUAACACUGGAAAAAUCAGCUAAUAGGGGCAAGUACAUCAAAUGCACCUUGUUGUUGUUUGCAUCGGGCAUGAGUACUCCCCCUAGGAUAUGCAUGUACGCUCAAGCAACGCACAUCAACUCACCUUCAGUGGCAGUCGCUGAUAAUUGUCCAAAUUUGGCUUUCAGCCAAGUAAAUUUUAAACCCGUAAAAUUUGACUCAUCGUCCUCUAACGAGUCUCCUAAGAGCUAAUAACAAAGUGCAGUCGGAUCGGUAAAUGAAGAUAUUCCCAUUACGAAACUCCCAUCAAUUGGGAGCCCGAGUUGCAUUGCAACAUCCUCUAAGGUCACCGUGCACUCCCUACACGGAAAAUAAAAAAGUGUGGGUCUUCGGGCUCCACCGCUCCACUAGCGCAGAUAAAAAAUCAUAGCAUAAGUCGGAGGUCCGAAUCAAUGCUGCUGACCCAAAUCCAGCUUGCUCUAAGUACGGCAUCAAUCGUGCAUCCGGAGCUUUCUUUAAACUAUUCACAUGGCCGCUUUUUACUCGGUACGAGUCCUGGUAGUGUUAAAUUACAGAAAAAUAUUACGAUAACAUGAUUUAUUUCUAUAUAUUAUGUAUAUCUUUUUUAAAUAAAUAGAACCCAUGAUUAACAAAUAAUAAAUCCUGAAUUUCCACUAUUUGUGCUGCCAUUAUCAAGAUUUUUACUAAAAUAAUAUAAAAAAUAAAAAAUUACCAAAAUUUUAUAUUUUUAUUUACAAAAAUUAUACAAAAAAUAGAAAAAAAGGUUGCAUUGGCUCUAUUGAUUCAACCCGGUAGAUAAAUAUCUGAUGCGACUAAUAAGGCGGUAUGAUUUAUUAUUUGUUAAUCACAGGUUCUAUUUAUUUAAAAAGGAUAUACGUAAUAUAUAGAAAUAAAUCAUGUUAUCGUAAUAUUUUUCUGUAAUUUAACACUAUCAGGACUCGUACCGAGUAAUAAGGGGCCGUGUGAAUGGUUUAAAGAAAGCUUCGGAUGCACGAUUGAUGCCGUACUUGGAGCAAGUCUGAUUUGGGUCAGCAGCAUUGAUCCGGACCUCCGACUUGCGCUAUGAUUUAUUAUCUGCGCUAGUAGAGCAGUGGCGCCCACAGACCCAUACUUUUCAUUUUUCAUGUGGAGAGUGCACGGUGACCUUGGAGGAUGUCGCAAUGCAGCUCAGGCUCCUAAUUGAUGGGAGUCCCGUAACGGGAGUAUCUUCAUUUUUUGAUCCGGCUGCACUUUGUUAUCAGCUCCUAGGAGACUCGCCAGAGGACGAUGAGUCAAAUUUUACGGGCUUAAAAUUUACAUGGUUGAAAGCCAAAUUUGGACAAUUAUCAGCGGCUGCCACUGAAUGUGAGUUAAUGUGCAUUGCUCAAGUGUACAUCAUGCAUAUCCUAAGGGGAGUACUCAUGCCCGAUGGAAACAACAACGAGGUGGAUUUGAUGUACUUGCCCCUAUUAGCUGAUUUGUCCAGUGUUGACUCGUAUAGUUGGGGCUCCGUCGUUCUAGCAGUGUUGUAUCGGGAGCUUUGUCGGACGACAAACCCGAAUGUUGUAGACAUGUGCGGAUGCCUCACAUUGCUGCAGUCUUGGGCGCUCUAUCGGAUGCCAUUUUUGGCAUUGGUUAGUCACCAACCGUAUGUUGAUCCAUUGGUGAACAGGUGAUAAAAUAUGACUUGGCAUUAUUUGUAGGCAUAAUAUAUUGAGUUAUGUUACCAACCCUAAACCCUAUAUUUAUUUUUUAUAGGUGGAGUGUUCGUCCGGGUAUCGGGAGGUCACACACUGUCCUAAUAUACCGACUCAUGAUCGAACAGUAUGCCUGGGAAGGGGUAAGUUGCUAUUCUAAUAUUCAUGACAUCUUACUUUCUAUAUCUUACUCACACGUUAUGGCUAAUUAUAACCAUGUUAUUAUUCAUACAGUUUAUAUGUAUGCUAUACCGUAGGCCAGAAAUUACAGAUGUGGUACCAUCGUCUGCAUACGUUCAUUCCCAUAUAUGGUGCUCUAACGUACCAAUUAUAAAUUUUAAUAUGGUCGAGUGGUAUCACAGAGAUCGGGUGCUACGAUAGUUUGGCUGUAUCCAACAUAUCCCGCGUCCGUCAUGCGAGGUGGGGGCGGUUCAUAGGAUGAAUAAGAGAGGAAAACCUCAGUUGGAUUGGGUUAUUAAGCACCGAAAAUUUGUGGCAUGGUGGAACGAUCGAAUGCGUCAAAGACCUUAGAUGGUUAUGGCUUCCAAAUUGCAACCAUCAUUGGAGUACAUACAAUGGCACUAUAAUUUCGGGAAGCCAUAUAUACUCGGAGGCCGGUCGACUGUAGUCCCCCCGUACAUGCAGCAACCUGGAAGAUCGUACUCAGCGGCCCCGAUGGAGGUGGAGCCUGUGCCAUAUUAUGAUUCGAAACCAGAGCCUGAGCAGGUGCCCCAGCCAGAGCUACAGCUAGAGCCCCAGCCAGAUCCGGAACAAUGACAUUCACAUGUUGAUUCACAUAGCUAUCAUCUGGAUUUGGCGGGUACUGACUAUUUGCCGAAUGUGCCGUACUGCGAUGGGUAGGAUCCAAAGAGAUCAAACUCGUAUGCGUAUUGGCCCCCUGAGAAGCUCAGAAUAUAAUCAUUGCCCGCCAAAUUCGGAUGAUAGCAAUGUGAAUCCUCAUGUGAAUGUGACUGCUCAGGAUCUGGCUCGGGCUCCAUCAAGUCAUUGGGUACGAUUCUCCAGGUCGCUGCAUGUGCGGGGGACUACAGUCGACUGCCCUCCAAUUAUAUAUGGCUUUCCGCAACUACAGUACAAUUGUAUGUACUCUAAUGAUGGUUGCAAAUUGGAAGCCGUAACGAUUUGAGGUCUUCGACCCAUCCGAUCGUUCCACAGUGCAACAAAUUUUUUGUACUUAACCCCUCAAUCCAACUGCGGUUUUCCUCUUUUGUUGAUGCCGUGAACCGCCCCCACCUCGCAUGGCGGAUUCGGGAUAUAUUGGAUGCAACCAAACUGUCAUAGCACCCGAUCCCUAUGGUACCACUCGACUACAUUGAAAUUUAUAAUUGGUGCGUUAGUGCACCAUAUUUCAGAAUAAACGUAUGCAGACGAGGGUAUCACAGCUGUAAUUACAGGGCUACAAUAUGGCAUCCAUAUAAACUUCAUGAUUAAAAACAUGGUUAUAAUUAGCCAUAACGUGUGAGUAAGAUAUAAAAAGUAAGAUGUCACGAAUAUUAGUAUAGCUUACCCCUUCCCCGACAAGCUAUUCGAUCAUGAGUCGGUAUAUCCGGACAGUGUGCGACCUCCCGAUACCCGGAUAAAUACUCCACCUACAAAAAAAAUAUGAGGUUUAGGGUUGGUAACAUUAGUCAAUAUACUAUGACUACAAAUAAUAACAAGUUAUAUUUUAUCACCUGUUUACUAGUGGAUAAACAUACGGUUGGUGAGUAACCGAUGCAAAAAAUGGCAUCCGAUAGAGCGCCCAGGACUGCAACAAUGUAAGGCAUUCGCCCAUGUCUACAAAAAAAGGGUUUGUCGUCCGACAAAGCUCCCGAUUUAACACUGCUAGAACGGCGGAGCCCCAGCUAUACGAGUGAACAUUAGAUUAAUCAGCUAAUAGGGGCAAGUACAUCAUAUGCACCUUGUCUCGAUAUACCGACUCAUGAUCGAACAGCAUGCUGGGGAAUGGGGUAAGCUAUUCUAAUGUUCGUGACAUAUUACUUUCUACAUCUUACUCACACGUUUUGGCUAAUUAUAACCAUAUUUUUAAUCAUGCAGUUUAUAUGAAUGCCAUAUCGUAACCCGAUAAUUACAGCUGUGAUACCCUCGUCUGUAUAUGUUCAUUUUGAAACGUGGUGCACUAACGCACCAAUAAUAAAUUUUAAUGUAGUCGAGUGGUACCAUGGGGAUCGGGUGCUACGACAGUUUAGAUGCAUCUAAUAAAUCCCGAUUCUGCCAUGCGAGGUGGGGGCGGUUCACGGCAUCAACAAAAGAGAAAAAUCGUAGUUUGAUUGGGGGUUAAGCACUAAAUUUUUUUUGCGCUGUGGAACGAUCAGAUGGGUCGAAGACCUAAUAUGGUUAUGGCUUCCGAUUUGCAACCAUCAUUAGAGUACAUACAAUGGUACUAUAGUUGCGGAAAGCUAUAUAAUAAUUAGAGGACAGUCGACUGUAGUCCUCCGCACAUGCACGACUUAGGGGAUAGUACCCAGCUACCCCGAUGGAGGUAGAGCCUGUGACAGAUCAUAAUCCUGAACCAGAGCCCGAGCUGGAGCCCGAGCCAGAUCUCGAGUAGUCACAUUCACAUAGAGAUUUACAUUGCUAUCAUUCGGAUUUAGCGGGUAAUGACUAUAUCCCGAGCUUCUCAGGGGGCCAAUACGCAUACGAGUUUGAUCUCUUUGGAUCCUACCCGCCGCAGUACGACACUCCCGGCCCACAUCAUGGGACUCAUUUCGGUUCAAGUUUGUCGAUGUCGAUCGAGCCACAUGAUUUUUCCUCUAUGUUUACCACACCCCCACCUGCUCCAAAUGAGGAUGUUGGUAGUCGCGAACACCCAGAACGUGACCGUCGACCUCCGCAUAGGUAUACCUUUAGGACCACAUCAUCGAACCAUCAAUUUUAGGGGUUUAUUGCACUUUUUUGUACAUUAAAAAGUUUGUACUUUUUGUAUAUCCAUUUUAGAUAUAAUUUUAAUUAUUCCAAAUGAAUUAUACUUUUUAUAACUUAAUUUGGAUUCAAUUUAAGCAUAAGCUGAAUUUAAGUUAAUCGGUGUUAAAACAACAUUGCAACAUCCCAACAUUACACAUAACAAUUUGACAGAAUUAGGUCAAUUCUGACCCGAUCUUGACGACUGUCCCACAUGAUAGUUUCGCUGAGGGCAUUUAUUCUGACUAUGACCACUUAACCUGUAUAUUCCACAAUGCUUACCGUCGAAUUUCUCCCUAAUGUCCAUUUUAUUAUGGAUUCUGGUUGAUUGCGGACGACCUCUUGGAUUCCUGCAUAGCCCUCUGUCUGGAGAAGCUUAAAAGUCGUCGGAGGCAUCUCCCACGUAGACAGGUCAGGCAGGACGGGGAACUCUUUUCCCAGACACGCAAUGUGCGCUCGUGCGUGUACACAUCAUCGACAUGUUGUUCAACAUUAAGGUUCACUUCAGCACACGCUGCCACGACAUGCGCACAUGGAUAAUGAAGUGUUUCGAACCUUCUGCACUCGCACCGUCUGUUUCGGAGAUCAAUUCCAUAGGACCUAGGUGGUAUACCAGGUCGACGACCGAUGGUCUUAUUAACUCGAAUGUUUCCAGAUGUCGUGAAUAUAUUUCUACAUUCAUUGACCUCGCUAUUCGACGGUUUGCAACAAUUGCAUCUCUGACAUCUUCGACAAAUACGUGUCCUGCCUCCAUCUGGUCGACUUGUUGCUGACCCAUUCUUGGCAUCAAGGUAGCCAACCUGUAAAAUAUAAUAGAGAAGACAAAUGUAAUCGGAAGAUGAAGUGUUUUCAACAACAUAGCGUUGACCCCAUUUGACCAUAACGAAAGCCCUCGUCAAAACUUUAAACGUGGCUAAUUGCCUUCUAAUGAGUAAAAAUAAUGUGGCAAUUAGCCACGUUUAAAGUUUAGUGCUGCCACACUGUCAGGCGGCAUCAUUUCACUUUCUUUGCUCAAAAUGGUAAAUUUGCAUAAGAGGUCCUUGAAUACUUAAGAUCAUUACAUUUCAGUCUGGUGCCGCCUGUGGCAGGCCCAACACAAUAACAAUAAUAAUAGUUUUAUACUCAAAAUAAUACUAACUAACAAUGAUAAUUAGGGUUUUACUAAAAAUAAUAACUAACAAUAAUAUAAUGUAAAAACUAACAAUCAUACUAAAAUAAUAAUUAGGGUUUUUACUAAUCCUAAUAACUAACCAUAAUAAUAAUAUUAGUUUUUUACUAGCAAUAAUACUAAGUAACAAUAAUUAUUAAUAACUAAACCCUAAAAACUAACAAUAAUAAUACUAACUAAAACCAUCAAUUUGAGUUUUUAUUAAUCUUAUAACUAACAAUAAUAACUAAAUUAACAACAAAAAAUUAUAAAAAUUAUAAAAAAAACGUAAUAACAAGAAAAUCCGUUAUUGUUUAAAAAAAUACCUUAUUUUUUCUUCUUUCUCUCUUUUUUCGGCACCACCUCCUAUUCCUUCUUCUUCUUCUUCUCCUUCAGCUAGAAGGAUGCUGGACUUAUAAUACAAGUGGUGCUGCCUGUGGCAGUGGCACUUUUGGUGCUGCCUGUGGCAUCCCAUUUUCUACUGUUUUGUUUUUUUUGUAAUAUUUUGGUAAAUAAAAAAAGUAAUAUUAUUUUGGUAUUUUUUUUAUUUUUUUGUAAUAUUUUUGUAAAAGACCCUAUUUUUUCUUUCUUUUUCCUUCAUUCCCUCUUCUUCUUCUCCUUUUUUUCUUUCUUCUACUUUCAUUUUCUUUCUUCUCAUUUCAUUUUCUUUCUUUCUUCUCCUUUCUUUUUCUUUCUUUCUUUCUUCUCAUUUCCUUCUCCUUUUCAUCUCCACCCACCAGCCGAAUGGUCCCCCCUUUAUAAGGGGGUGGCGCCGCCUCUGCCCCUGGCACCACUGGUGAUGCCAGUGGCAGCCCCUCCACCAGGGUGCUGUCACAUCCUCCAGCAGCUUUUUUUUUACUUUUUUAUUCUUUUGUAAUAUUUUGGUAAAUAAAAAAAUUAAUAUUAUUUUGGUAUUUUUUAUUUUUUUGUAAUAUUUUUGUAAUAGACCCAUGUUUUAAGUGUCCAAACAGAAAAGAAGAGAAGUUCCUUUACCAAAUUUUCUUCAAAAUUAACGAUAGAAGCGCGUAAGUAGUACAACCAUAAAUGAAAAAGAACAAAAAACGUACAGAUUUUUUGAAAAAAUAACUCAUCUAAAGAGGAAAUAUAAAGUUGGACCUCUAAAAGUUCUUUAGCCUUCUAUUUCUGACCUUUUCAUUCCAAUUUUGUUAAUUUGUUUGUUCAAAUUGUUAAGUUUGGUGAAAUAUCUAUAAUUGAAUUUGCUGUUUAUGACAUAUUUCCUUAAAUAUAGAUGUUUUCAAUGUUAGCCUUAUUGCUUAUAGCUAAGAAGUAAGGACCUUGUUUACGAAAUUUGUUUUGAGUAUUGAUUUUGAUAAAAUGCUUGGAUUGAAAGAUAGAAAAUAUGUAAAAAAAAAAACAACUCUUAUGUUCUUUCAGCUAGGAAAUAUAGAGUUCAAAACAUUAGACAAAACAUUCUAAAAGAUGUCAGAACUCAGAAAAUAGCAUGCAUUUGUAAGUGUGAUUUAAGUUUUAUUCUAUGAGAGAUGAUCACUAUGCAAUUGUCUUGUAUUCAAUUUGAUUGCCUCAAUUUUGCAAGGCACUAAUUCAAUCUUCGCAAGCAUAAUUUGUUAUUCUUGCAGGUGAUAUUAGUAAGGCUCGCAGGUGAAGAGUUAUAGUCUCCAACACAGUUAGUGAUAGCAAAGUUUCCAAUUGUCAUAUUAAGGCUCGCAGGUGAAGAACAACAGCUUUCAAAAUAGUUAGCGAGAACUCAAGCUCUUCAUUGUAGUCUUAAAGCUUGUCGGUUUAAUAUCACGGCCUUUAAAAUAGCUCGCGGACCUACGUUCCCGACUCAUAUUAUAGAGGUUAGCUGAUUUAAAAUCGUAACCUUCAAUUAUUUGAGUUAGCUGAUUUAAGACUGCAACUUCACACAACUUGCUGAUUUAAGAUUGCAGCUGUCAUCUCAGGUUCACAGGUUAAAUACCGCAACCUUAGAAAUAGUUGGCGCGAGCUCAA
rnacentral:lncRNA from 1 species